GAAGAUGUAACGGGGCUAAACCAUGCACCGAAGCUGCGGCAGCGAACGUAUCACCCAAGACAACUUUACGGAGUUGACGAUUGACGGAGCGAAGCGACGUCAAAGCGUUCAUUAAAGUCGAGUUGGCUUAGGGAUACGUUCGUUGGGUAGGGGAGCGUUCUGUAAGCCUGUGAAGGUGUGUCGUGAGGCAUGCUGGAGGUAUCAGAAGUGCGAAUGCUGACAUAAGUAACGAUAAAGCGGGUGAAAAGCCCGCUCGCCGGAAGACCAAGGGUUCCUGUCCAACGUUAAUCGGGGCAGGGUGAGUCGACCCCUAAGGCGAGGCCGAAAGGCGUAGUCGAUGGGAAACGGGUUAAUAUUCCCGUACUUGGUGUUACUGCGAAGGGGGGACGGAGAAGGCUAUGUUGGCCGGGCGACGGUUGUCCCGGUUUAAGCGUGUAGGUGUGUGUUCCAGGUAAAUCCGGUUCACUUUAACACUGAGGCGUGACGACGAGGCACUACGGUGCUGAAGCAACAAAUGCCCUGCUUCCAGGAAAAGCCUCUAAGCAUCAGGUAACACGAAAUCGUACCCCAAACCGACACAGGUGGUCAGGUAGAGAAUACCAAGGCGCUUGAGAGAACUCGGGUGAAGGAACUAGGCAAAAUGGUGCCGUAACUUCGGGAGAAGGCACGCUGACACGUAGGUGAAGUGAUUUACUCAUGGAGCUGAAGUCAGUCGAAGAUACCAGCUGGCUGCAACUGUUUAUUAAAAACACAGCACUGUGCAAACACGAAAGUGGACGUAUACGGUGUGACGCCUGCCCGGUGCCGGAAGGUUAAUUGAUGGGGUCAGCGCAAGCGAAGCUCCUGAUCGAAGCCCCGGUAAACGGCGGCCGUAACUAUAACGGUCCUAAGGUAGCGAAAUUCCUUGUCGGGUAAGUUCCGACCUGCACGAAUGGCGUAAUGAUGGCCAGGCUGUCUCCACCCGAGACUCAGUGAAAUUGAACUCGCUGUGAAGAUGCAGUGUACCCGCGGCAAGACGGAAAGACCCCGUGAACCUUUACUAUAGCUUGACACUGAACAUUGAGCCUUGAUGUGUAGGAUAGGUGGGAGGCUUUGAAGUGUGGACGCCAGUCUGCAUGGAGCCGACCUUGAAAUACCACCCUUUAAUGUUUGAUGUUCUAACGUGGACCCGUAAUCCGGGUUGCGGACAGUGUCUGGUGGGUAGUUUGACUGGGGCGGUCUCCUCCUAAAGAGUAACGGAGGAGCACGAAGGUUGGCUAAUCCUGGUCGGACAUCAGGAGGUUAGUGCAAUGGCAUAAGCCAGCUUGACUGCGAGCGUGACGGCGCGAGCAGGUGCGAAAGCAGGUCAUAGUGAUCCGGUGGUUCUGAAUGGAAGGGCCAUCGCUCAACGGAUAAAAGGUACUCCGGGGAUAACAGGCUGAUACCGCCCAAGAGUUCAUAUCGACGGCGGUGUUUGGCACCUCGAUGUCGGCUCAUCACAUCCUGGGGCUGAAGUAGGUCCCAAGGGUAUGGCUGUUCGCCAUUUAAAGUGGUACGCGAGCUGGGUUUAGAACGUCGUGAGACAGUUCGGUCCCUAUCUGCCGUGGGCGCUGGAGAACUGAGGGGGGCUGCUCCUAGUACGAGAGGACCGGAGUGGACGCAUCACUGGUGUUCGGGUUGUCAUGCCAAUGGCACUGCCCGGUAGCUAAAUGCGGAAGAGAUAAGUGCUGAAAGCAUCUAAGCACGAAACUUGCCCCGA
rnacentral:rRNA from 1 species